rnacentral:rRNA from 1 species
UACGUAGGGUGCAAGCGUUAAUCGGAAUUACUGGGCGUAAAGCGUGCGCAGGCGGUUAUGCAAGGCAGAUGUGAAAUCCCCGGGCUCAACCUGGGAACUGCAUUUGUGACUGCAAGGCUAGAGUACGGUAGAGGGGGAUGGAAUUCCGCGUGUAGCAGUGAAAUGCGUAGAUAUGCGGAGGAACACCGAUGGCGAAGGCAAUCCCCUGGACCUGUACUGACGCUCAUGCACGAAAGCGUGGGGAGCAAACAGG